AAUGUUGACGCUUCGGAUCACAACAUUUGAAAUUCAAUCGACUCCUCUAUCCCUCUCUUUUAAACAAUGGAGCCCCAAUCUCUGAAGCUCGUAAUGGUCCAAGGCCCACGCGAGGGCGAAACCCUCGAAUUCCCACUCGGAUCUACCAUCCGAAUCGGCCGCCUCGUCCGCGGCAACAACAUCCCCAUCAAGGACCUCGGCAUCUCCUCCAAUCACCUCUCCAUCGAGUCUUCCUCUUCGGGCUCGGGGAAAUGGAUCCUCCGCGACCUCAACUCCUCCAACGGUACCCUCCUCAACGACACCAAGGUCCUCCCAUACACCCCCUAUGACCUCCGCGACGCCGACUCCAUCAAGAUCGGUGAAUGCACCUCCUUCUUAGUUAAGGUCGACGGCCACGAUGCAAGCCAACUCAGACGGAACCCCAGGCGCCAAGCCGCCGAGAAAUAUACGGUGGAACCGGUAGCAGAGAAUCGAUCCCGGAGAGGUAAAGCUUCUAAGGUGAGCGAAGCUAAGUGUGAUGAGAAAGGUGAGGAGUUGGAAACUGGGAACAGAAGGAAGGGUCGGCCGAGGAAAGCUAGGGUUUUGGAGAGUGAAGACGCUGCAGAGGAAUUUCGUGUUCCGGAAUCGGAGAAUGUGAGACCCGUGGAAGAGAAACCGGCACGGCAAACAAGUACUCGGCGUACUCGGAGUGCAAAAGAAUCUGCGGUUUUGGAACCGAUUCUCGAGAAGAUUCCGGAGAACUCGGGUGUAGAGUGUGGAGAAGUGGAGGUUAAGGGUAGAAUGACACGAGCCGGUGCGAGAAGAAGGAAGAAUCUAUGCCAAGAGUCAUCGGAUUGCGCUCGAGUUGAUGCUGCAGAGAACAAUGAGAAUGUGGAGGAGCCGGCGCAUUCGGCAGAAAAUAUUAGAACAGAUGUUGAUAUAGGUGCUACGACCGAAGUUGAUGCUUUGGAGAAUGUGGAGGAGACGAAUUUGGAAGAAAAUGAUAUAAUAAAUGCUGGUAAAGGCACUGCGACUGGAUUUGAUGAUGAGGUAGAAAGAGGGUCUGGUUCUGGUGUCGAAGGGGAAGGGCUGGAUUUGGAGAGGAUGACGCUUGAGGACUGGUUCAAUUAUAUGGAGGUCCAUUUGCCAAAGCAGAUAAUUCGUAAGAGUGAGGAAAUGAUUGAGGGUAUGGGACAAAAAGCCGAACGAGUUCGUGAGUAUAUUCUGGAGAAGAGGAAUGAGAGGGGUAAAGUGCCGAUGGGAUAGAAGAUCAAGCGAUUCGGUUAAAGAGGGAGGAGUUCACGGGGACCACUCGUCACCCAGCACCCGCGUCGUCGCCCCUCUCGUCGCCUAGCACCCACGAGCCUUCCGCUGCACGGUUCAAAUCCUUCCCCCUAUUUUGGAAGAGUUAAAGCAAAACGAAAGUUCUCCUCUCAUUAUUUUCCGGGUUUUCUUUGGAGUGAGAAAUUGCUCCAAAUUUGGUCUUCGUAGCUCCAAAGUUUCUACAAAGGCACUUGAAGACACAGAGAGACAGACAGAAAGACACUCAUGGCUUGAUAAGGCCAAAGGGGUCUAGCACCGUAGACCCGUUACCGGAGAGAGCGAGCCUCCGUACUUUUCAUAGACCGGAACAUAACCGUGAUGGAGGAGUUCCAAGAUGAAACGAGAGUCAUAGAAAAGUGAAGAUGUUUCUUCCUUAACAUAAAGGAGGUAGACUUCAUGGCUAUUUCUAUUUGGCUUGGUUCAAUGACACCAUAUACAUCUUUCAAAAAUGGUAUUGGUUAAUUGAAAACCGGAAAUGCCUUAUCUUUUAAAUGGAACUCUCUUUUUGUGGCAAAGAGCCUUGUGCCAUUAGCUUUUAAUGCUGUGAAGAUUUUUAAUAUCAUUAACUCCUUUCCAGUAUCCUGCAUCUUGUUUUAUGUGGGAUUAGAGGCUUACUUGUGCCUGUCCUUGACUGCUAUAGAUAGUUUUAUUAUACUUUGUGCAUCUGGGGUUUACUCUUUUAGGGGUAAAUUUGAAGGCUCUGCCUCGAUGAGGUUCCACAUUAUUUAUAAAGGUCCGGCCAAGUUAGAGUCAUCCUCAGUUUGAUAUCCGAAUGGUUCAAUUGAAAGAGAAUUUUCAAUUAGAAAUGGCAAUCUUAGUUAUACUAGUUGUUAUCCUGAUCCCAUACUUUGGAAAUGAAUAUUAACUGGUUGGUCAGUAAAGGCAGCAAAUUAGUUGGUUGCGGUUCAGCAGCACCCACCAUGAAGGUUUCAAAUGAUGAUCUUGCAAAAAUAGUUGAUACUUUUGAUGAAUGGAUAUUUGUUCGAACUGGGAUUCAUAACUGCUGGGUUCUUUCAGGUCAAUUCUUAGUUGCAAUACAUGAUGAUGCCAUAUGUUGGAUACUUGUGAAGCAUCUGUGGCUACUUUACAUUUGCAAGCCCAAAUAUAAAAUAAAACAGAUUGUUCAAGAAUGGAUGAAGGCAGUUGGUUGUUCUAUUUCCUUUGAAACUGUUUGUAUGGUAAAAGCUUAUUUUGGUUUUUAUUCUCAAUCCUCUAUGGGUGUAGCAUCACCCUUGGUAAAUUGCAUUAUGAUGUCUUUGGGCGCAUGCAAAUAUAUUUUGGUUGGGAUGAAACAAUGAUCAUCAGGGGUAAUUAAUUCCUAGUUUCUGCAAUAUAUAUUUUGUCAUUUGCUGGGUGUGAUCUACUAUCUCAGGCUUUGCUUACAUGUAUAUAUAUGUAAGUUCUUACCUUUGCUUACAUGUGUUGCGCAUGCACUCCCAUCAUCUCUGACUGCAGCAUCAUAUUACAGUGAAUAUUUACCUUGAGGAGGACAUUCCCAGUUUUGUAUACUUGCUAAAGUUUGCACUUUUGUUUCCCACUUGGAGUUGUGCUCUCUUUGAACUUUGAAGUUUGUUGACUGUAUCUACACUUUAGUGGGCUUGGUAAUUCCUGCCUUUCAGGAAUUGUACUACUUGGUUGAUUAGGAAGCAUAGUCAAUCAUAGUUAUAUUAUCCUGUCAUUGUGGCUUUGCUGUCUAAAUUUUUGGAGGUGCUUUUAUUUUUUAUUUCCUCUCUUUAGAAGUAUCCAAUGUAAAUUCCAGAACUAGUAAUGUCUUUUGGUGCAGAAUUGUUAAAGCACCACAUGUGUCAUUCUGUUUUUAUUUGAGAGUUUUUUUUACCUGCCUUUGCAAGAGUGAAUGUGUUAAAAAGUUAUAAUGAAAAUUAAUGGAAUCAUGAGGUAGAAAAUGACAUCUGUACAGUAUAUUUUAGUUUUUUACUGGACAAUAUGUAAGAUUUGUACUUGUUAUGUGCAGUUUGGUGUAAUGGAGUUUUUUGACUAUUAAAAUUUCAUCAUUACAGUGUUUGUGUUCCUUUUCUGAUGAGGUUAUGAUGGUAUUCGUCUAAGUCCAAGCUCUUUUUGUUUGUUUAUCUUCAGCCAAAUUUUCCUCAUUUAUGGCUUUCAGUAGAUUUACUCUGCCAUUUUUCAGAUUUAGUUUCAACCCAGGAUUGGAUUUUGACAAGAUUGGAAGCAACGACAAGUGGACAGUUUCUAAGGGUGUUGCAGUGAUGCUGAUUGUAUAUCUUGUAGUACUAUAGUUUGUCAAUAUUACUUUCACUUGGCCAUUGUAGGACGUUCUUUAAAAUGGAGUGAAGAUUUUUUUGUAAAUGAAAUUGAUGGCUAAUAAGAUAGUCAUUAUCAUGUGAACAGUGUACUAAUUAUAAGUGAAAUCUAAGAGUUUUUUAGGAAA